rnacentral:rRNA from 1 species
GUGCACGCUGGCGGUAGGCCUCACACCUGCAAGUCGAACGGCAGCACAGUAAGAGCUUGCUCUUACGGGUGGCGAGUGGCGGACGGGUGAGGAAUACAUCGGAAUCUACUUUUUCGUGGGGGAUAACGUAGGGAAACUUACGCUAAUACCGCAUACGACCUACGGGUGAAAGCAGGGGAUCUUCGGACCUUGCGCGAUUGAAUGAGCCGAUGUCGGAUUAGCUAGUUGGCGGGGUAAAGGCCCACCAAGGCGACGAUCCGUAGCUGGUCUGGGAGGAUGAUCAGCCACACUGGAACUGAGACACGGUCCAGACUCCUACGGGAGGCAGCAGUGGGGAAUAUUGGACAAUGGGCGCAAGCCUGAUCCAGCCAUACCGCGUGGGUGAAGAAGGCCUUCGGGUUGUAAAGCCCUUUUGUUGGGAAAGAAAAGCAGCAGGUUAAUACCCCGCUGUUCUGACGGUACCCAAAGAAUAAGCACCGGCUAACUUCGUG